GAUGAAGAACGUAGCGAAACGCGAUAAGUAAUGUGAAUUGCAGAAUUUAGUGAAUCAUCGAACUUUUGAACGCACAUUGCGCCCCUCGGUAUUCCGUGGGGCAUGCCUGUUCGAGCGUCAUUUACCCCUCAAGCACUGCUUGGUGUUGGGCGUCUGUCCCGCUUCGCGCGCGGACUCGCCCCAAAGGUAUUGGCAGCGGUCGUGCCAGCUUCUCGCGCAGCACAUUGCGCUUCUCGAGGCGGUCGAUCGGCGUCCACGAAGCUCACCUCCACCGUUUGACCUCGGAUCAGGUAGGGAUACCCGCUGAACUUAAGCAUAUCAAUAAGCGGAGGA
rnacentral:misc_RNA from 1 species